AUUCCUACGGGAGGCAGCAGUGGGGAAUAUUGCACAAUGGGGGAAACCCUGAUGCAGCCAUGCCGCGUGUGUGAAGAAGGCCUUCGGGUUGUAAAGCACUUUCAGUUGUGAGGAAAAGUUAGUAGCUAAUACCUGCUAGCCGUGACGUUAACAACAGAAGAAGCACCGGCUAACUCCGUGCCAGCAGCCGCGGUAAUACGGAGGGUGCGAGCGUUAAUCGGAAUUACUGGGCGUAAAGCGCACGCAGGCGGUUUGUUAAGCUAGAUGUGAAAGCCCCGGGCUCAACCUGGGAUGGUCAUUUAGAACUGGCAGACUAGAGUCUUGGAGAGGGGAGUGGAAUUCCAGGUGUAGCGGUGAAAUGCGUAGAUAUCUGGAGGAACAUCAGUGGCGAAGGCGACUCCCUGGCCAAAGACUGACGCUCAUGUGCGAAAGUGUGGGUAGCGAACAGGAUUAGAUACCCUGGUAGUCCACACCGUAAACGCUGUCUACUAGCUGUGUGUGCCUUUAAGGCGUGCGUAGCGAAGCUAACGCGCUAAGUAGACCGCCUGGGGAGUACGGCCGCAAGGUUAAAACUCAAAGGAAUUGACGGAAUCUC
rnacentral:rRNA from 1 species